rnacentral:rRNA from 1 species
GACGUAGGGGGCGAGCGUUGUCCGGAUUUAUUGGGCGUAAAGCGCGCGCAGGCGGCUCGGAAAGUCGGGUGUGAAAACCCGGGGCUCAACCCCGGACCUGCAUCCGAUACUCCCGGGCUGGAGGCAGGUAGGGGAGAUCGGAAUUCCUGGUGUAGCGGUGAAAUGCGCAGAUAUCAGGAGGAACACCGGUGGCGAAGGCGGAUCUCUGGGCCUUGCCUGACGCUGAGGCGCGAAAGCUAGGGGAGCGAACAGG